rnacentral:rRNA from 1 species
GAUGAACGCUAGCGGCAGGCCUAACACAUGCAAGUCGAGGGGUAGCAGGAUUAAGCUUGCUUAAUUGCUGACGACCGGCGCACGGGUGCGUAACGCGUAUGCAACCUACCUUAUACUGGGGUAUAGCCCGGAGAAAUUCGGAUUAAUCCCCCAUAGUACUAAUGAAUCGCAUGGUUUAUUAGUUAAAGCAUUGCGGUAUAAGAUGGGCAUGCGUCCUAUUAGCUAGAUGGUGAGGUAACGGCUCACCAUGGCUACGAUAGGUAGGGGGCCUGAGAGGGUGGUCCCCCACACUGGUACUGAGACACGGACCAGACUCCUACGGGAGGCAGCAGUGAGGAAUAUUGGUCAAUGGGCGCAAGCCUGAACCAGUCAUGCCGCGUGCAGGAAGAAUGCCCUAUGGGUUGUAAACUGCUUUUAUUUGGGAAUAAACCUCUUUACGUGUAGAGAGCUGAAGGUACCAAAUGGAUAAGCACCGGCUAACUCCGUGCCAGCAGCCGCGGUAA